GUGCCAGCAGCCGCGGUAAUACGGAGGGUGCAAGCGUUAUCCGGAUUCACUGGGUUUAAAGGGUGCGUAGGUUGAUAGGUAAGUCAGUGGUGAAAUACUCCGACUCAAUCGGAGAACUGCCGUUGAUACUAUCUAUCUUGAAUACGGUGGAGGCGGGCGGAAUGCGUCAUGUAGUGGUGAAAUACUUAGAUAUGACGCAGAACACCCAUUGCGAAGGCAGCUCGCUACACCGGCAUUGACACUGAGGCACGAAAGCGUGGGGAUCAAACAGGAUUAGAUACCCUGGUAGUCC
rnacentral:rRNA from 1 species